GAGCGCCGCUCGAUAGAAAAUCGCCUUAUUUAUCAACGUGAGCCAUAAGCAAACUAACUUUCGUCUUCGUUGAAAUAAGCCGGCGUUUAUUCUCCAAUCGGUUUGGUUAAAUUAGAAGGUUGAGUCGGUAUAUAAUCACACAAUGUCUUUCUAUGGUCAUGUGCUCCCUCUAUACAUCUUGGUUAAUAAUCUUCCCCACGUAAGCGCAAAGACGCCUCUUUACGUAGGAGCCUUAUUUCCUCUGACGUCAGAACACAAUGACGGAUGGACAGGCGGUAAUGGUAUUUUACCAGCUGCGCAAAUGGCGCUCGAUGACGUGAAUAGAGGCGGAGUAUUAAAGGACUAUGAGCUAAGAAUGAUUUGGAACGAUACCAAAGGUUCACCUGGCUGGGCAGAACAUAUCCUUUUUGAAUUUCUUCAUAAAAAGCCUCGUAAAAUCAUGUUCCUUGGAGCUGGGUUCUCGUCGUGUAGCACGGUGGUUGCAGCUCUGGCUGGACUUGACCAAUGGGCAAUACCACAGAUAUCGUAUUCCAGUACAUCACCUGAGCUGUCUGAUAAAAAGAACUAUCCGUAUUUUUACCGUACGAUACCAGAUGACACUUCAUUAAACGAACCCCGGAUCGCAUUACUGAAAACGUUCAAAUGGAGUCAUGUCGGUACCAUCUUUCAGGAGGAGGACAUACACAGAACGGCUGUAACUGAUCUUCAUACCCUGUUUCUGGAGAAUGGUAUCGUUAAACUUUCUUCCGAGAGUUUCAGAGAGGAUGCGCAUGCCCAGGUGGAGAAUAUGAAGAAAAGAGGAGCAAGAAUCAUCCUGGCUAACUUUUUUGGUAAAGGCGCUCGACAAGUGUUUUGCGAGGCGUACAAACUGCGCAUGUACGGUGCAAAGUACGUUUGGAUUCUCCUUGGGUAUAUAGAGAAAAACUGGUGGCUAUUCAACGACUCCAGUAUCACUUGUACGUCACAGCAGUUGUUUGAGGCUAUGGAUGGUCACCUAGCAACAGACUACUUGUGGAGUACUGGGUCAGAAGCAAAAACAGUCUAUGGAAAGACGGUUAAAGAUUUCCAAGUUGAAUACGAAGCCAAAGUCCCUCUAGAAUCACGAGAUGUUCACCGUGGUUACGCAUAUGACGCUGUGUGGGCCGUAGCCCUUGCGCUGAAUAGGACCAUCCCUCAACUUUCCCCUACCACGCGUUUAGAUAAUGUACCAUAUGGAAACAAGUCCCUAUCAGUUGCACUUACUAAAGCUCUUCGAGGAACCAACUUUUCAGGGGUAACGGGCCCCGUUGGUUUCACCAGCGAAGGAAACAGAGCUGGAGACACACAAAUAGUUCAAAUGAAAGAUGGGCGGUACGUAACCGUUGGGCUCUAUCGCAUCAACACGGGUGAGAUAACUUGGGACGACUACGAGCCUAUCACAUGGAAAGGAGGAUCGCCCCCAAGGGACAAAACCAAGCUGGUGUAUGAGUUGAUGUCAGUAUCUGUUCCACUGUUUACAUUUAUGGCGGUACUAACGUCACUGGCUAUAAUCAUCUCUCUGUUCUUUUUGUGGUUUAACAUUACUAAGAGAAAUGUCAGGUUCAUCAAGAUGUCUAGUCCUAAUCUGAACAACUCUGUUCUACUGGGUUGCACGUUAAGUUACAUCUCAGUGUUUCUGUUUGGUUUGGAUGGCGGAUUUAUCUCCAGUGGUUACGAGAUGAUAUGCGCGAGCAGAGCCUGGACCCUCUCUCUUGGCUUCAGUCUUGCAUAUGGCGCCAUGUUUUCCAAGACCUGGCGAGUACAUUUGAUAUUUACCAACAAAAAAUUAAAACGAAAGGUUGUAAAAGACCGACAUCUAUUUGCCGUUGUCUGUCUUCUUGUAACUGCUGACGUCAUCUACCUCACGGUCUGGCAACUGAUGGAUCCUAUGACGAGAAUUGUGCGUGAGUUUGUGAAAGAGUCGUUAGAUUCCGAUUUGGACAUUACUUUAGUGAAGCAGCUGGAGCUGUGCGAAUCUCGAUUAACAUACCGCUGGCUUGGUGUGUUGUGUGGCUACAAAGGACUUCUAUUGUUAUUUGGGGCGUUCCUUGCAUGGGAAACAAGAAACGUUUCAAUACCUGCGCUAAAUGAUUCCAAGUACAUUGGUAUGUCUGUGUACAACGUGUUUAUCCUGUGCGUUAUUGGUGCGCCGAUAUCAUUGGCCAUGAGGGAAGAACCAGAUGCUUCGUUUUCUAUUAUCUCUGUUUGCAUUAUCAUCUGUACCUCUAUUACUCUGUGUCUUGUGUUCAUACCGAAGGUGCUAGAAAUGAAACGUGCUAGACUGGUUGGUGAGGAAUUGUGCCGAACGUUUACCACCAAUAACUUAAUUAUUGAAACAAACAACACUAUGCCAACAAUGGAUAUCGAGACAGAACGACAACUGAUGGAACUCAAGAGGAAAAUGGCUGAGGUAACUAACCCUAUAAAGAACAUUGAUGGUUCAAUGCUAUCAAAGUAAAACCAGAGCAAUCGCAGAAUCCGAUCACAGGAAUGGAAAAUACACAAGGAGCGAAUGGAACAAAAAGACAAAGAAAUCAGGGAACUGAGGCUUCGCUUAAUGAACUCUCCCAGCGGGGGUAAACAAUCCCACAAGAUACAAA